CAGGCACUUUAAAGGCCCAGUGUGCAAUUUCAACAGUUAUUCAACCUCAGAUCUUCCAAGAGACCCUGACUGGAAGCCAGACUCCUAGUCCAGAGCUGAGAUGAAAGGAGCCACAAACUGUGCCAGAUGUAGAGGCAGAUCCCCUCACCCUGCCUUCUGUAUGUGUUUCAAGGAUCACAAAAUCUUCUCCUUCCCAGGGCUAGUGAAGAUUAGAAG